rnacentral:rRNA from 1 species
GACCCGCUUUCAAAUAUUAUCAGGCUAACGGCAGCACGGAGCUUGCUCUGGUGGCGAGUGGCGAACGGGUGAGUAAUAUAUCGGAACGUACCCUAGAGUGGGGGAUAACGUAGCGAAAGUUACGCUAAUACCGCAUACGAUCUAAGGAUGAAAGUGGGGGAUCGCAAGACCUCAUGCUCGUGGAGCGGCCGAUAUCUGAUUAGCUAGUUGGUAGGGUAAAAGCCUACCAAGGCAUCGAUCAGUAGCUGGUCUGAGAGGACGACCAGCCACACUGGAACUGAGACACGGUCCAGACUCCUACGGGAGGCAGCAGUGGGGAAUUUUGGACAAUGGGCGAAAGCCUGAUCCAGCAAUGCCGCGUGAGUGAAGAAGGCCUUCGGGUUGUAAAGCUCUUUUGUCAGGGAAGAAACGGUGAGAGCUAAUAUCUCUUGCUAAUGACGGUACCUGAAGAAUAAGCACCGGCUAACUACGUGCCAGCAGCCGCGGUAAUACGUAGGGUGCAAGCGUUAAUCGGAAUUACUGGGCGUAAAGCGUGCGCAGGCGGUUUUGUAAGUCUGAUGUGAAAUCCCCGGGCUCAACCUGGGAAUUGCAUUGGAGACUGCAAGGCUAGAAUCUGGCAGAGGGGGUAGAAUUCCACGUGUAGCAGUGAAAUGCGUAGAAUAUGUGGAGGAACACCGAUGGCGAAGGCAGCCCCCUUGGGUCAAGAUUGACGCUCAUUGCACGGAAAGCGUGGGGAGCAAACAGGGAUUAGAUACCCAUGGUAGUC